rnacentral:misc_RNA from 1 species
AAAGUCGUAACAAGGUUUCCGUAGGUGAACCUGCGGAAGGAUCAUUAUUGAAUGAACAUGGAGUUUGGUUGUCGCUGGCCCCUUCACUGGGGCAUGUGCACGCCUUUCUCUAUUCAUCCACACACACCUGUGAACUUGUGAGACGGAUAGUAGUCCCCCUCGGGGGGCGAGCUCCGUCUGCUAUACAUAAACUCCAGUAAAUAAAUUUGAAUGUCAUUUGAUGUAACGCAUCUAUAAACUAAGUUUCAACAACGGAUCUCUUGGCUCUC